rnacentral:rRNA from 1 species
CUACGUGCCAGCAGCCGCGGUAAUACGUAGGUGGCAAGCGUUAUCCGGAAUUAUUGGGCAUAAAGGGCAUCUAGGCGGCCAGAUAAGUCUGGGGUGAAAACUUGCGGCUCAACCGCAAGCCUGCCCUGGAAACUAUGUGGCUAGAGUACUGGAGAGGUGGACGGAACUGCACGAGUAGAGGUGAAAUUCGUAGAUAUGUGCAGGAAUGCCGAUGAUGAAGAUAGUUCACUGGACGGUAACUGACGCUGAAGUGCGAAAGCUAGGGGAGCAAACAGGAUUAGAUACCCUGGUAGUCCUAGCUGUAAACGAUGAUUACUGGGUGUGGGCAUGAAGAGUGUCCGUGCCGAAGCUAAUGCGAUAAGUAAUCCGCCUGGGGAGUACGGCCGCAAGGCUGAAACUCAAAGGAAUUGACGGGGACCCGCACAAGCGGUGGAGCAUGUGGUUUAAUUCGACGCAACGCGAGGAACCUUACCAGAUCUUGACAUCCUG